GAUGAACGCUGGCGGCGUGCUUAACACAUGCAAGUCGAACGAGAAGUGAAGACGGAAACCUUCGGGCGGAAGGCUUUAUUUCGAGUGGCGGACGGGUGAGUAACGCGUGGGUAACCUGCCUCAUACAGGGGGAUAACAGUUGGAAACGACUGUUAAUACCGCAUAAGACCACAGCACCGCAUGGUGCGGGGGUAAAAACUCCGGUGGUAUGAGAUGGACCCGCGUUCGAUUAGCCAGUUGGCGGGGUAACGGCCCACCAAAGCGACGAUCGAUAGCCGAUCUGAGAGGAUGACCGGCCACAUUGGGACUGAGACACGGCCCAAACUCCUACGGGAGGCAGCAGUGGGGAAUAUUGCACAAUGGGGGAAACCCUGAUGCAGCGACGCCGCGUGAGUGAAGAAGUAUUUCGGUAUGUAAAGCUCUAUCAGCAGGGGAGAAAAUGACGGUACCUGAGUAAGAAGCCCCGGCUAACUACGUG
rnacentral:rRNA from 1 species